rnacentral:rRNA from 1 species
UGGGGAAUUUUGGACAAUGGGCGAAAGCCUGAUCCAGCAAUGCCGCGUGUGUGAAGAAGGCCUUCGGGUUGUAAAGCACUUUUGUCCGGAAAGAAAUCCUUGGCUCUAAUACAGUCGGGGGAUGACGGUACCGGAAGAAUAAGCACCGGCUAACUACGUGCCAGCAGCCGCGGUAAUACGUAGGGUGCAAGCGUUAAUCGGAAUUACUGGGCGUAAAGCGUGCGCAGGCGGUUUGCUAAGACCGAUGUGAAAUCCCCGGGCUCAACCUGGGAACUGCAUUGGUGACUGGCAGGCUAGAGUAUGGCAGAGGGGGGUUAGAAUUCCACGUGUAGCAGUGAAAUGCGUAGAGAUGUGGAGGAAUACCGAUGGCGAAGGCAGCCCCCUGGGCCAAUACUGACGCUCAUGCACGAAAGCGUGGGGAGCAAACAGGAUUAGAUACCCUGGUAGUCCACGCCCUAAACGAUGUCAACUAGUUGUUGGGGAUUCAUUUCCUUAGUAACGUAGCUAACGCGUGAAGUUGACCGCCUGGGGAGUACGGUCG